AUUGAACGCUGGCGGCAGGCCUAACACAUGCAAGUCGAGCGGCAGCACGGGAAGCUUGCUUCCUGGUGGCGAGCGGCGGACGGGUGAGUAAUGCAUAGAAAUCUGCCCGGUAGUGGGGGAUAACCUGGGGAAACCCAGGCUAAUACCGCAUACGUCCUACGGGAGAAAGCAGGGGAUCUUCGGACCUUGCGCUAUCGGAUGAGUCUAUGUCGGAUUAGCUUGUUGGUGAGGUAAUGGCUCACCAAGGCGACGAUCCGUAGCUGGUCUGAGAGGAUGAUCAGCCACAUCGGGACUGAGACACGGCCCGAACUCCUACGGGAGGCAGCAGUGGGGAAUAUUGGACAAUGGGCGAAAGCCUGAUCCAGCCAUGCCGCGUGUGUGAAGAAGGCCUUCGGGUUGUAAAGCACUUUCAGUGGGGAAGAAAGCCUUGGGGCUAAUACCCUCGAGGAAGGACAUC
rnacentral:rRNA from 1 species